rnacentral:tRNA from 1 species
GCGGGUAUAGCUCAGUGGUAGAACACAUGCUUAGCACGCAGGAGGUCCUGGGUUCAAUCCCCAGUCUCUCCA